rnacentral:rRNA from 1 species
UACGUAGGGGGCUAGCGUUGUCCGGAUUUAUUGGGCGUAAAGAGCGUGUAGGCGGCCAGGUAGGUCCGGUGUGAAAACUCGAGGCUUAACCUCGAGAUGUCAUCGGAAACCAUCUGGCUAGAGUCCGGAAGAGGAAAGUGGAAUUCCUGGUGUAGCGGUGAAAUGCGUAGAUAUCGGAAGGAACACCUGUGGCGAAAGCGGCUCACUGGACCAUAACUGACGCUGAGGCGCGAAAGCUAGGGGAGCAAACAGG